AACGAACGCUGGCGGCAUGCCUAACACAUGCAAGUCGAACGAGACCUUCGGGUCUAGUGGCGCACGGGUGCGUAACGCGUGGGAAUCUGCCCUUGGGUUCGGAACAACAGUUGGAAACGACUGCUAAUACCGGAUGAUGACUUCGGUCCAAAGAUUUAUCGCCCAGGGAUGAGCCCGCGUAGGAUUAGCUUGUUGGUGAGGUAAAAGCUCACCAAGGCGACGAUCCUUAGCUGGUCUGAGAGGAUGAUCAGCCACACUGGGACUGAGACACGGCCCAGACUCCUACGGGAGGCAGCAGUGGGAAAUAUUGGACAAUGGGCGAAAGCCUGAUCCAGCAAUGCCGCGUGAGUGAUGAAGGCCUUAGGGUUGUAAAGCUCUUUUACCCGGGAUGAUAAUGACAGUACCGGGAGAAUAAGCCCCGGCUAACUCCGUGCCAGCAGCCGCCGUAA
rnacentral:rRNA from 1 species